UGAUCUGUUUGUUCUUUCAGCAGACUCGGUUAGUGUUUCACUCCACAGCAGCAGAAACACAGCAGAGGUAACCAAAACAUGAGGAAUACUGUAGCUAAAGUUCAGACAAUCACUACAGGGGAAACCUUUGGAGCUGAUGUGGAUUUGAUGAACCAAAUCUUCCAAAAGGAUACAAGUCAGGAUGCACAACACAUCAUCCUUUUCUGUCCAAUCACAUCUCGGGUUGGCUCAGAUGUGCAGGCAGCCCUGGAAAAAGUCCCAUAUGGUCGAAGAGUCAUCCUGGUUUUGAUGCACCACACCCGAGAUGCUGACUACUCAACGGCUGGGACAAAGUGGUCAGAAUGCAUUGAAAACGUUGUCCUGGAUGUUCACGUUCUCUUCCAUGAAAGCGUCCCAGGAUUACUGCGCUGUGCACAAAAUCACAAGGCAGUGUUGGAAAUAAGAAAUUUUUUCGCUCACAAAAAGAAUUCAGAUCAGAAUUGGGCUUUGAUUGCGUAUGGCUAUUGGCUAUUGUGUUGUGUUUUUUCUUGGAUCUUAUCUGAUGACAGGUCUUGGAUGAGUCUCUGGAACUGGUUCUGGCAUCCAGACAGGCUUUGGGUGAAGCUUAUGAUUUGGUUUAGUACUCAGCUUUCUCGUUUGAUUUCAGUUUUGCUGUUCUAUGUAAGAAAACCAAAAGUUAUUAAAGACAGACUUCCUUAAUACCAUCAUUAAUGUCUCUUACACACAAACAGAGUCAUUACAAAAUUGUCUAUAUGAACACAGGCACCUAUAGGCAGAAACUAGAGAACAGCUCAGCCAGAGUUACUAUAUUUGUAGUCACAGAUAAUUAUCUGACUUGCUUCAUAGGCUCCAAAGGCAUUUAAUAUGACAUUACAUUGAAAUAAAAAUCUCUUACUCUGCAGAAAACUACCUUGCAAUUGUUAGACUAUGUCAAAAUAAAGUGUUUAUGAUUGUGAUGCUGAUAUAAUAAACUGUCUAGUUGCUUUUUACUGAAGGUCAAAUAGACGGUUUGAAUAAAUGAAUUCUUGUGACUCUUCUUAAUGCAUGUUGUAAACUUGAAUUAGACCUCUGCCUGUAACUAUUGCAACAUGAUGUUUGGGAACUGUUUCCUAUAAAAAUUAUCAAUAAAGUUUGAAAGAACAAUAGAA